rnacentral:lncRNA from 1 species
GAUGAUAGAGAAGGAAGCAUUGUGGAAGUGAAAGAAGGUCUCAAAGUUAUAAGCCCUCCAACAUUGCGACCAAGACAAGGAAGAGAGGAAGAAGAAGAAGAAGAAGAAGAGGAGGAGGAAAGGAGAGGAGAUCGUCGUCGCCACCGCCCCCACCACCAUGAAGAGGAGGAGGAGGAAGAGGAAUGGAGCCACCAAGUAAGGAGAGUUCGUCGCCCUCACCACCACCGUGAAGAUAGAAACGGACUUGAGGAGACACUUUGCACAUUGAAACUUCGCCACAACAUUGGUCAAUCUACAUCUCCUGAUGCAUACAACCCUCAAGCUGGCAGGCUCAAAACACUCACUAGCCUCGACUUCCCAAUCCUUCGUUGGCUUGGACUUGCUGCUGAACAUGGAUCUAUCUACAAAGUAAGUAAUUCUUCUUCAUAAACUUAUCAUCAUUUAUACACUAUUAAUGGAUUAACCAUGAAUGGAUGUUGUGUUGGUGUAGAAUGCUAUGUUUGUACCUUACUACAACGUGAACGCCAACAGCAUAUUAUAUGUAUUGAAUGGAAGUGCAUGGUUCCAAGUUGUGGAUUGUAGUGGCAAUGCUGUAUUCAAUGGGGAACUGAAUGAGGGUCAAGUCCUAACAAUACCACAAAACUAUGCUGUAGCUAUAAAGUCCCUUGAUGACAAUUUCAGGUAGAGUUAAUAAUAUUUAUGAACAUAUAAAAUGUUGUCUCAUAAUUGAUUGAUGUUUAUGAAAUAUUAUGGUUUUUCAGUUAUGUGGCAUUCAAGACAAAUGAUAUACCUCAGAUUGCAGCCCUUGCUGGGCUUACCUCUAGCAUAAGAGCUUUGCCUUUGGAUGUGGUUGCACAUGCAUUCAACUUGGAUAGGGACCAAGCUAGACAACUCAAGAACAACAACCCUUACAAGUUUCUGGUUCCACCACCUCAGUCUCAACUCAGAGCAGUGGCUUAGAAACACCAUAAACCUUCUCUUUUUAUGUGUUUCCCACAGUUAAUAAUAAAAUUAUGAUGAUGAAUAAGAUAGCAAAGGCUUAGAUGCCUUUUGUUAAAUGUAAAAAUAUAUGUGAUGAGUACCCUUUUUAUCCCGAAUCAUGAAGAAACUUUUGUGGCUAAGAGCAUAAAUAAAUAAAAGGGAAUUUUCAUUGCAACACUUUGAUUUUCUAUCAAGUGCAAUGUUCUUUUUUAUUUUAUAAAUAACAAGGUCAUACAUGAUGAUAUAAGGAACAUAAUUGAGCUAAAAUAUUACACACAGAAAAAAUUCAAUUAGCUUCUUCAAUUUUCAAUAAAAAAGGGAUAACAUAAAAAUACAUAUUCUAUCAAUGAUUAAUGGAAAAAGUAAAACAAUAGAUAAAGUAAAUAACUCUUGAUUUCUGUUGUCUGUACUGUGUAGAGAUAGAAGGAAUUAGAUUACUCUUUAUUUUGUGGACUUUUCAGUUCAAAAACAUCUGUGACUCAUUGUCUUAUUAUUUUCUGUAUCAGUUUUAUUUCUUAUAUUAUAUAAAUAAUGUACAUUGUUAAUUCAUUAACCUUUCAACCUAACACAUUUCUUAUAUUUACAUUUGUUUGCUACAUCUAAUGAUUAAUUUUGAAUCUGACAUAGGGGUAACCUUGUCCAUGCACCUUCACGUGUUCCUAUAAAGUAGUAGAAAGACCAGAGUCAACAUUUUUGAAAUGUAUCCUUCAAACUUAGUAUAAACCAAAUCUACACGAAAUCUCAAUUAUUCAGAUCCAUUUCCUUCUCUUCCUAGAUAAAUAAAUGGACUUUUAUAGCAACCAGUAUUAGGGAGUAGUUCAAAUAUCAGCAUAAGCUUCAACAUCACAAAGAUGAGUUCAAUAUUGUGGUGCACACUCUUUUGUCUUCUCUUAUCUUCAGUGGUAGCAGCUGCUCAUAGGCCUGGAUUUCUCUACACCAGGAGCACAGGAAGAUGCACUCCUCAGUAAGAUAUUCAAUCUCUUUUUUACUCCAAGGCACACAUGUCGUUCCUGUUAAGGUUGUUCUCCAACAUGUCAAUGCUGUUAGUGUAACCAAUAGCAAUGCUACAUCACACUUCUAUCACUCUGCACUCAGUGAUUUCUUAGUGUUUUUGUUAUAUAUGUUUACUCUGAUUUGGCCAUGAAAAUGCUUAGAUAGUUAGAUGCACGUUAAAAGCAACAAAUAUAUGUGUAUAUGAUGUGUAUAUGAUGUGAAAUAAUAUUUUUCUGAUGUUAUGUAUGUAUAUGUGUAGAAACAUGUUUAUCUCAAAUCCCUUUUACAUUUGGGUCAUAAUAAUUGAUUAAACGACUUUUGCUCUGAAAAUAACAAUGUGUUGUUGAACUAUGGGUAUAAGCAUGGUGUAAAAAGGGUGUGAGGACAAUGUGUUGUUGACUUAAUUAGCCAAAACAAUGUGAGGAAGAAAGUGUGAGAAUAUCACUUAUACUCAUGGAUGUAUGUUGUGGUUAGGUUUUGGAGCGGGAGGAGAGAGGCGUGGCCGAGGAUGGUUCCAGAGACAUCAACGGUGUCGAAUGUGUUCGGGUCGAGGGUAUACGAACGAUACAGAGUGGACCUAACAUUGGUGGAAGCAACAGGGAGGAAUGAUGAGGAGGAGAACCCCUUUGGAGGGUUGGUGAAGGAAGGGAGUGCAGCAUUGCUUAACUCUUAUGCAAGGGAAGGUUUCCCUUACAAGCCAUGGCAGAUCAAGACUUUGAUCAUACAAGCUUUGGUCUCUGAGGUUGCAGCUGCUUCUCAAGCCAAGCAAUUCUCAUUGGCUAACCAGGCUUGCUUUUAAACUUUGAUUCAUAUUGCUUCUCUGUCCAAUUUACUAUAUUAUUUUUGAAUAUAUGAACCAAAGAUGCGUUUAGUUAAUGUUGGGAAGGGUAAUGAGCUGUUAUUAGUCAUUUGAAUUGGCUACCACCAUAUACCUUUUACCCCUUUUCUGUGUUUUGGUUGUAUAGAUCAGAAAUCAGUACUCUUUGAUGUGAUCUUGGAAGAUCACAUGGUUGAUAAUACGAUCAUGAAAUGAGAAUUACUACUAAUUGUGCAUUACUCAUCAGGUUUUUUCAUUUAAUCAUUAAUUUUCUUCUUAUAAACCAUAAUCACCACAGAUAUGGAUUGUAUUUUUACUGUUCAUACCUCAAUACUACAAUGUGAAGUCGUUUUCUUUGUUAAUGUUGUUCAACACAAACAAACUGUUUAUACCACAUUGCAGUUUUUAUCUUCUCUUUCAAUAAUCUUCCUGUAAUUCUAGUCCAUUCAAUCCUAUGGUGAGGCACUGAGAGUUUAGCUCAAGUAUCACUCAUCUAACAGAAAUUAGAAAAAAAGGCAUGAACCAAUAACAUUAUGGAAAUGCUUGGUUUCAUAUUUAGACUAUACAUAAAAUGGUAUGUUCUACAUAUAAAGUUAUAACAAGUGUACUUAUAAUAUUUCAGAAAUAGUUAGUCUGCUCCAUUCUUCUCUCACCACUUAAGUGUCAUAGUAUUAUUGAUCAACCUUGCAAUAAUUUCGCUAGCAAUUGAUACAUAAUAAAGAACUAGACCAACAUAGUAAUUAAGCAAUUAACAUAACUGAGUCAUUAAAAUAAAAUGACAAGGUAUUCUCAGAGCAACAUAAUACGUUCACACUGGUAACUUGUCACAAAGCUAUACAAACAACAAUAGUUCCACACUUGUGAACAUGUAAGGAAAGAAAUGCAGCCAUUUUUGGCCUUCUCCAAGCUUAGUGCAGCAAGUCCUUCAUAGGAUCAUCAUGGUGUACUUUCUUCAUCCUGUAUGCCUCCAUGUCCUCAGCAGUAACCUGAGGCAUCGAGACCAUUUAAGAAUAUGAACAAGGGAGCAUGUAUAUAAUAGACAAUUCUCAACCAAUGGCAUGAAAAAAACAUACCUCGUCGUUCCAUCUAACGUUGUAUUUACGCUUCCUCUCAUCUUUUUCUUCUCUCUUUCUUUGAUCUUCCUGUGAAAAAUCAAUCUUUCAUCCAUCAGCACAACAUUCUCAGAUACAUAUUUCAAUUAAUCACCUCAAAAGAUUGAAUGGUUCCAGAAAAGUUAUAAAAAAGUUACACCAUAGCAUAAAUGUUGUAGCCUAGACCUAAAACACAUGCCAUCUUUUUUUUAGUCUAAGAACUACAAAUAAAUAUCUCUUCACUUGGUAAUUACGAUUAAAAGAAGAAAUUUGGCACAGAACGAUAAUUAAUUCCCUAGGAGAUAGAAUAAGCACAAAAAAUGAAAAUAAUAAGUUUUAAAAAACAGAGGCAUAUUAAGGAGCCAAGACAUAUAUGAAUAAUAAGACUAAUAUUUACCUUUUUUAGUGCAUCAGCAAGCAACUUUUCAUCCAGGACUAGGUCAUCUGGGACCUCAGUACCCCAUGUAGCAAACCUUUUCUCUUCCACUAGUGUAGUAUCUUCUGUACACAUUCAUCAAAAUAAUUCAAGGUUAAUAAAGAGAGCAUGACAAAUAGAAACAUAAAAUGGAAGAAGAAAAUAACAACUAAUAACAACAAAGGAAAGGAAUUGAUGUACGAACCUGCAGCAGACUCCUUACGGGCAAUAUUAGCUCUCAUAAGAUCACUUGCAGCCUCAGCAGCCUCAAUACCAGCGGCACCAGUGCAAUAACUAUUCCGUAUUGUCUGCUUGCAGCACUUAAAACCCCACUGGUGAUCCUUCCACCACGAGCCCCAAACAGUAGUAUGGUUGUUAAUAUAAACAUCCUCAUCAUAUUUGCUCCUAGGAAUUGCUAACUCCUGUAGGAAAAGAUCAGAUAGAUAACUUUAUCUAAAUCUUAAAAGGAACAGAUCAAAUAACAGGCAUUUUAAUGAUUUUAUAUGAUUCGUAUGCAAGUUCAAGUUUAGAUGGACUAUAAAAAUUUAGAAUGCAUAAGUUACCUGUCCCUUAAUAAUUCUACCAGCGCGAUCAUACUCAACUUGCCUCUCACUCUGACCCAGCAGAAGUUCUCUUGGAAGUUUGUCCUCAUCAGCUGCAUUGCCAUACUUCUCCAGGACAGUGUCCUUUGUUUGAGACUUCAAUUUGUCCUUCAUGACCUUAAAAUUCUUAUAGAGCAAUUCAGCUUGGGAUGGAGCCGCUUGCAUGUGAACAUCUUGCCCCUUGUCAAAUGCUUCCCAAGCAUGGAGGUUUAAUUCCUUGAAUUCCAAAGCUUGACCACUAUUUCUAUAUUGGUUAUCACCCUAUAGUACAAAAACAUAUUCAAUGCAAAUAAAAGAUUAACAUGCAGCUGCAAAAAAACAAAUUGUAGAAUUUUCGAAAAACAAUUAUUCUUGAGGGUAGUCACCAAGUAAAACUUUUCAUGUGGAUCUGCAUCUGGAAGAGGAUCUUCACGCAUGGACCGGGUCUUGGGAUCAUAAUGUGCAGAAUUGACAUCAAGAUUGAGAAGAUAUUUUGCAGUAUCCUCUCGAAUACGUAGGUUCCUGAAGAGAAAGGUAUUUCAAUUACAAUUCAUCUAAAGAUAAAUAACGGAAGUGAUAUUAAAAUGAUGAUAACAUAAAAAUUACCUCACAGUCCCUGUACUCCCACCACCAGUUGUACGGACACGCUUCUCAACCUUGGCAAAGUCCAUUUGUUUGCUCUCAUCAACCUUCGCCUCAUCUACCCUAAGAUCAUCUUCAUCUUCAUCCUCAUCACUUGCAACAUCUUCACCAUCUUGGUCAUUUUUCUCUAAUUUCUUCAGCUGUUGUUCCUUCAAGUACUUCUUACGAGAUUCAUCUCUAGCUUCAUACCUCUCAAUGACUCGAGCAUAUGUUGAUGCAUCAUAUCCAUUCCAUCUGUCUCGUUUGCCAUCAUAGUCAAGCUCAAAUGUUUCAAUCUUCUCAUCAGGGGCAAUGUGCUUGUUUGUCCACUUUGCUCCCACUCUCCGUGGUCUAUCCAUGCAUGACUUAGCAUCAUGCGUCAUAGCUCCACAACUAUAACAAGUAAAUGAAUAUUAAAGUACUUGCAAAAACUUGUCAGUCAAGCAGAGUCAAAACACAAACACUAAAGGGAAACAACUAUGCUUGUCACGUCUACAGACACAAACCAAAUACUGAAUUUCGUGAACAUUCACCACAUAUGCAAACAUAAGACAGAGUACACACACUCGAGUGAUAGUGAGAGUGAUCACUUACUUCUCACAUGCACCUUUCCUAUACUUGUCUGCCUGAAAAAUCUUAGCACCUCUAUCAUACCAUGAUUUGGUGUAAUUGGGAUCAGAUUUCCAUUUCCUUUGAUGUUUCAAACUCUAUGAAGUAAAAAACGCAGAGAAGGUGUUAGUUUUUAUAAGUCAAAUAUCACAAUUUCACAAAGAUCUCAAUAAAGUAUAGGGGAAAGGAGACUUACAGGUCUCUCAGCAUUAAGAUACCAAGGUGCAGAUGACAUAUAUUGUGGAAUGUGAGGAUUGAUUUCUUUUCCAUCUUCAUCCACCUCAGCUGGUGCAAGCCCUGCUUUACGUGCUUCCUCCAACUCAAUCUGUUUGCGAUGGUCCUCCCUGGACUUAAAUGCCACUGCAAUCCAUAUCCCAUGUAAGUUUCAAAAUCAUACCACACAAAUACCGAUUAAAGUGGGGGGAAACAAGAAAAUCAGUCACCUUAAAAUUAAAAUUAAGAAAACCAUUCAACAAUGAUACAAAGGGGUUUCAAACAAAUUAGCUCAGUACCCUAAUCCCGAUAGGAAAUAAAUGUCAAAAAAUUAAAAAAGAAGAAAAGUUUCAAUUCUUCAUGUUCUCCAGAGCCUACAAGGAUUAUCAUCUCGGUUGCAUGAACUAAUAACAAAUAUCCUUCAUUUUAACUAUCACGUGAAGAAGGAACAGCUUUGAAUUGAAAUCUAACUACGAUUUAAUCUUAAAUUGACUACAGAAUCCCCAAAUUAAUUAUGUUUUUUUUCAUGAUAAUAUAAUAAUAUGAAAAUUCUACGUUCAUAGGGCUCCAAAAAUUAGCGAACACGGAACGAGGUAACAACUUUGAAUUGAAAUCCAGCCAAGGUUUCAUGUUAAUAAUGCUCUAGAUAUGAAUGGACAAAACCAGAGCAAAUCCCCAAAUUAGAAAAAAACGAUAAAAACCUAAUUAUGAAUCGAAUAAUACAAUUCGGAGUAGGAGAUAGAAACCCUAGAAAAGAGGAUCAAAAUUGAAUGAGAAAAAAAAGACGGUACCUGAAGCGGUAGCCAUUUAAUGAUAAACGCGAGUGAGUUUGAAGAUCGAAGAAGAUGAAAGAAGAGAAGGUGAAUGUUAAUUGGGAAUGUUGCAAUUUUACACGCUUAGCUUCUGUUUCUUUAUCACUGAAAACGAUGAUUAUGAUGUUUUAAAACGACUGCGCUUUAUACUCUUAUCUUUCAUUCAGAAGUACUAGGUUGGGCUCACAAUAAAAGCCCAACUACAUUACAUAAAUACAUAAAUUCCUAAAGCCUGUUUUAAAAUAACUAUAGAGAUCGUUUUUCGAUGCCAUACUCGAAAGGUUUUGUAUUUCUAAGGUUGAUGGUUUGAUUUCGAUAAUGACACUUAUUGAGAAUGAUAAUUAUAAAUUUUGAAAGAAAUCAAUUUCUUACUAAAAAUAUGAGCAAAUACCCUUGCUAGCAUUAAAAAAAAGCAAGACAUCAUAGUUCAUACUACAAAUUGUUUGUUAAUACAAUAUAAAACCCUACUAAAUUCUAAGUAUCAAACUAUGUCAAAUACAAAACUUCAUUUUCUUGUAAUGAUACUUUUGAAAAGAAUAAUCACACACCUUGAUUUCUUACUCAUACAAUAAAAUGAUAGAUUUAGGCAUACCAAAAAAACCAAACUAAAAAGAAAAUACCAAAAAUUCGAGUCAUUCAAACUUUUGUAAGGCAAUACUAUAUUAUAUAAUAACUAUUACACAUGUGAUGAUUAAAAGAUAAUGGAAUAAAGAGAAGAGUAAUCUCUUUGACCAUUUUGUCGGUAGAAAAAACUGAAAAGAAAAUAAAGCAAAAUGUAAUAUACGCGGCGAUUCGAUAAUGGAUGGAUGUGAAAACCCAAAAGAGUAGUAUGAUUAAUAAUAUUCAACAAAAGUGGGGUCCAUGGACGGUCGAAGAUUCAUUCAUGUAUAAAACUAUGUACUUGUCUCUUCCUUAAUAGAUAAGAUAUUUGUUAUCAUAAAGUACUCUGAAUUGCGUUGCUCCAACGCACCACCCCUUAUCUUCUCUUGAUUCAUAAUUUGAGAAACUUAUUUAUUACAUUGAAUUGAAUUAUCAAUAUCAAUCAUUCAUCUUCCAAGUUUUCUCAUGUCUUUCAGAGGGAUCACUAGGGUAACAAUGCUCUUCCUCAAUAUCUUCACCAUUUUUCUCAACUUUCAACCAAGAUUUUAACUUUUUGCUUUUUUCUUUAAAACCCAGCUUCUAAAUAGCUACCUCUUCUUUUUAUUUCUUAGUAUUUGUAUAAUUGAGAUCAAGGGGGUGUAAUAGUUUCAUAGCCAAACAAUUUGUAUAAUUGAAAGCAAAAAAACAUUACUUAAGUAGAAACUAAGAGUAAAAACAUCUCUUCCAUGGUGAUGUUUCUCUUACGGAGUGAUAUGAUUAGUUUUCCAAGUUUCUCAUGUCAAUAAUCAUGUGCUUAAGAAAUUGUAAGUUUUCAUUAUUAGUGUUUGUGAUUCAUUGAGAAGUGGUGUACUUAGUAUUCCAACAAAAACUUAAUAUUUCUUGAUUCCUUAACCAGCAUCUUAUUACAUUGGUUAGCAUAGCAAGACCUUUAAUUAUUAAUUAUCAUUAAUGAUAUGAUUGGCCUGGAUCUAACUUGGGUGAGUAUUUUUCCAUAAGACUCAUGCAACCAAUAGCUUAUGAAUAUCAAUAUGUAUACGCUUUCGUAAUCAAGUUUUAGGUGAAAGAUUUGUAACCCAAAUAUACACUUUUAUUUGCAGCCAAAUGCAUCAUCGGGCAUGGGUGUUGCUGAUCACAGCAAAAAUGUGUUCAUGGAAUUGAAGCAAAAGAAGGUGUAUCGUUAUGUGAUCUUUAAGGUAGAUGAGAAGAAAAAGGAGAUUGUUGUUGAAAAGACUGGUGGUGUGGCUGAGAGCUAUGAUGAUUUCACUGCAUCUUUGCCUGAGAAUGAUUGCAGAUAUGCUGUCUAUGACUUUGAUUUUGUCACUUCUGAGAACUGUCAAAAGAGCAAAAUCUUCUUCAUUGCAUGGUUAGUUUGCCCCAUCCUUCUCUUUCUAUAGAUUAAAAAGCUAUAAUUAAGUUGCAAAUAGAGCAUUACUGGCUAUAAGAACUUGUGCAUAUAUUAUAUAUUGUGGCAUGCUGGCAUAAAUAUAACAAGGCAAACAUCUUCAUGCAUCAGUUCAGCCAUAUAAAAGAGUAAGUAAGCUUCCUGAAUAUAUAGCUUUGUUUUUCUCUCUAAAAAAUUUGAUGAGAUUAAGCUCUGUGUGCUUUGUCAAUGUGUAGUAUUGCUUUCUUUGCUUACAAAAUUUCCAUCAAAAUGUGGUCUUCUUCUGAAGACUGGAACAGAUUAUUUCCAUUUUGUUUUAGUCACAGCUUCACUGCCACUUCAUAACAACAUAUUUUCCAUCAUUUGUUUAACAUGACUGAGAUAUCUAACUAGGAGUUGAGACAUUUUUUAAGUAACUUAAUUAAGCGCUUAUUCAAGAAACACUUAUCCUAUCCAAGCUCCUGACCUUCUAUAAGUUCUUUUAUUUAUUUCAUAAGGUUCUCUACUAAGCUUAUUGAAAGGAGCUAAAACUAGCUUAUAAGAAGGUCAUAAGCUAUUCUAGAAACCUACUUAAGGGUUGUUUGUAAGAGAUUAUAGAAAGUUUAUUUGGACUCGUGAGAAAAACUUAUCUUCAUAGCUUAUGACCUUUCUAUAAACAUUUUUAACUUUUUUCAAAAAAAGCUUGCUGAAGAAGAGCUUAUUAAGUUGUUUAUCCAAACAUGCUCAUAUGAUUCUAUGAUAAGUCCAAAUAAACUCUCUUUGAAAUCUUGUAAACACUUCUUCGGUAUUCCUCCUCUAAUUCUUGUGAAGGAUGAACUCGGAUUAGACUUCCUUAUUUAUUAUACCACCUUUCACCUAAAUCCUUCCAUCCUCAGCAAUGUGCUUCUUAAUUAAUUUAAUUUUUCUAUGAUUCUGCCAUUGAGACAUCAUUCUUAGUUAUUUGUUGCAUGAUAUUGUUCAGGUCUCCUUCAACAUCUCGAAUUCGUGCCAAGAUGCUCUAUGCCACAAGUAAAGACAGGAUUAAACAUGAGCUAGAUGGUUUCCAUUAUGAAAUCCAAGCCACUGAUCCCACAGAAAUGGAUCUUGAAGUGCUCAGAGACCGUGCACAUUGAAAUGCUACCUUGUGCAGUUAUAUUUAUUAUUGUGUUACCGAAAUCUACUAAGUUUAACCUUUAAAUUUCCAUUUCAUGCUUAAUCAUAUGCAAAGCCUAUCUCGUCACAAAAAUAUUCUCCAAUAAUAUGAAUCUGAAGUUUGAUUAUGUGUUUAACCUUAAAUCAGUUCUGUAUGAGCAUGUGACUUCAUUGAAUCUGAUGUCUUAGAUUUAGAGAUUAGUUGUUAACAUAGACAAGGUAGUAGAAGAAGUUUUCAAAACUUGCAUUAACCUAUAGUUGCUUUUCAAAGCUAACUUAUCAAGAUUUAAUUGUGAGUUUUCAAUGUUGCAAACAACAGAAACAAGGAACAUUAACCAAGUAAUGAUGAAGUUACAGUGAACAUAACAGUCAUCGAGUUAUUUGUAAUCAACUAUUUUUAGUUCCACUUGUUAAAUGAUAGGUCAAGCUCUAUCAUUUUGUUAAACCAAUUCAAACUUUAAACUAAGAUCAUGUUUUGCAGACUUCUCAACUUCCAAAUUAUGUCAUCAUCUCCAUUCACACAAGCACACAUUUGUAGACAAUAAGUCAAAUUCAUACACAUUUAUAUUCAGAUAAUUCCAAGUAUUAUACACUCCAAAAUUGUUAUACAUAAACCAGUAAAUCUAUAAAAAAAAAAUUCCAGUACCCAUAGAACGAAUGGUUCCUCAUGUUAGUGUUACAUAAAGAGCACCCAAGAUUUAACAUAAAGACACUUUUUAUUCUAGUAGCAGUGUAGAUGGACAUUAACAUAACACCUAAACAAUAGGAGCAGUUCUGUUAUUGCUGUGUGAUGCAUCCCUAGGUACUUUUUCUUCUUCUUCAUUCUCACCUGACAUCUCCUCCAAAGAUUUUCCAUUUGCCUCAGGCACCAAGAAAGUAAAAAAGAAGCCUAAAACAUUAACUACAGCUAAAACAAUCAGUGAAUUUCUCAUACCAAUACCUGCAGGGUACCCUGCAUCUGCUUUACUCUUGUCCUUGUUCUGUGCCAAGUACAAGAAUCCAAAUGCACCAACCAUAGCCCCAAGCUUACCAGAAGCUGAUGAUAUUCCAUGGCAAGUGGAUCGGAAUCUAGCCGGGAAAAUCUCGGCUGGCACCACAAAUGUUGUAGCAUUAGGCCCAAAAUUUGAAAAGAAGAAGGUAAAAGAAUACAUCACCAUAAAGCCAAUUCGGUUCUCCUUUUUAGUCCAAUGAUCAUAAGGAAUGGCGAGAGCAAACAUGAACACUGUCAUGAAGAAGAAUCCCAUCAAUUGGAUAGUAAACCUUCCAAUCCUGUCAAUCAAGAAAACUGAGAACCAGUAACCUGGAACAGUACUGCAAAGAGCUAUAAUCGUUUGCGCCCUUGCGAUUUUAUAAACCUCCUCAAGAGCAUUCAUUGUUUCCGCAGAAGGGAUCCAACCAACUGCACUGAAAAUAUCCUUUUGGAAUAGAUUCUGGCUGUAGAAUGCAAUAUCAAGCAAGAACCAUGUGACUGAAGUGCCAACUAAAUGUAGUCCAUGACGCCGUAGGAAUUCCUUGGAGAACAAGCCAAAUGAAUUUCUCUGAUCCUUAAUCCUUGGUUCCGCUUGAAUCUCGACUUGUAGAACCUUAGACAUAUCUGCUGCAGCCUGCUUCAUAUCCUUGGCAACGAGUGCUGUGUAACGCGCGGUUUCAGGCAUCUCCGUUCGCCAAUAGUAAGUCAAUGCAGCUGGGAGUGCUCCAACCAUCACAAUUAUCCUCCAAAUGUAAUCUGCUUGUGGAACAGUCGAACCAAUUGGAUCAACCUCGUAAGAUGGAGCAUGAAACCUGGCCUUAAAAGCAGCCGAGACUAUAAUUGCAAAUAUACCACCUCCCAAAAUUCCAAAACCUUGCAUAGCAAAGACUGCAGCAAUAAACGCGCCACGAGUCUUCUUAUUAGAAUACUCAGACAUUAUGGUAGCAGAAAGAGGGUAAUCACCACCAAUACCAAAACCAAGCCAGAAUCUGAAAAAGCAAAGAGUUGCCAUCACAGAUUUUGGAGUAUGUCCAAAAGAAAGGCCUGAACCAAUUGAGCAUAUAACCAUCAUCAUCAGGGUCAUGCUGUAAACUUUUUUUCGACCCAACUUGUCUCCAAGCCAACCAAAGAAAAGCUGACCGGAAAGUGUUCCACAGAAGGCUACACCAUUUACAGCAGCUGAUACAUUUGGAGGCAAUGAACCAGGCUUUGGUGCAUCUUCAACAUGGUAGUAUAUGCGCCCAAGCAAUUUUGUAACAAGAGAUAUGCAGAAUAGAUCAUAUGCAUCUGUGAAGAAACCCAUUCCUGCUAUGAUGAUUGCAGUGAAAUGGUACCAUUGUGUUUUUGCCACAUCAAGUGCAUUUAGCACCUGGAUUUGCUCCCCAGCCAUUACUUGGAAACAAAGUUACUCUUUCUUUAUCAAAGUCUUGCCUUCACUGCUAUAUUUUAACCCAAACUCUAGUCAGAUUCUUUUAUUACAACUAUUAACAAUUUAUGCACGCAUAAUUUAUCAUUUGAGAAUGUUAUCAAGUCAAAUCACAAUCAUAAUAAUGUAACUGGCCGUUCAACCCAGGGUGAAGCGGUUCUCAAGCCAAUAGGUAUCAUAAUUAUACCGAACAUGCAAUUAAAUCACUCCGUAUCAAAACCAUUUCAAUAAUAAUUGAAUUAUCUUUUACGAUUAGUAAUAUUUAUAUUCAUCAAUAAUAAAUGUUAAAUCAGAUCCUAUAACAGAACUAUGCAUGGUAUAAUUGGUUGCUGCUAUGGUGAGAAUGAAGAUUUAUGUAUACCAUGUGAAUUACCCAACAUUCAAUUUUAUUAUUUUAUUAAUCUUAAAUCAUCAGUCUAUUGAAUGAUAACAUGAACAUUUUGUACCAGACAAAAUGUGGGUCGACAAAUACGAAAUGUCGAUUGACAUGCUAAUAUUAAAAUAAAAAUAAAGUGUCUGGUUCAUAUGAAAACUUUACGUCAGCAAAAAAAGUUAACUAAAAUGAAGAACACAGAAAUAAUAAAGGAUGAAAGUGAGAGUGGAAGAUAGAGGGAUAAUGACAUGUACGUGCAUGGGGUACCAAUGUGCCAUGAUGAGAGAGGUGAUCAAAUUAUUCAUGCCAACAAAACAAUAAAUAAUAAAAUGAAAACGAUAUUGGUUGUAGUCACCAUUAUUAUGAUUAUGCUUUAUUUGGAAAAACAAUUAAGGAUCAUAAAUGUAAUGAAGAUACAACAUGAUAUAACUAAGAAAAUAUAUAUAGUUAUGAAGAGAGAUAAGUAAGGGUUAUAAAUGUGACCUGCAAAUGGUUUAAGAGUAAUAAUAAUGAGAUGAAGAAUAAAGAGAUGAAAUGUAGUGUGAAAAAGAAGAAGGUGAUUGGUAAGGAUUUAUAGGAAACAUUUCAGUAAAAGAGUCCAUAACACCAAAUAUUCCAGCAGAAUAUUCCUCACUUUUGUUGCUCUUUAUUUGCUAAGUCAACCUCACUUUUAUCACUUAUCUUAUCAUUUUUUCUUUUACUUUAUUAUUACUUAAUAAUAUUUGUAUUUUUAACAUAUCUACUCUCUCCUUUGGAAUCACAUGAUGCAAUUGGAACAAUAUGUUUAGGCCCAAGUUUACUUUUCGUAACUAAAAAGGAAGUCUUUAAUAGAAUAUUGUUAUCAUCACAAUCUCAAAAAUCUCAAGGUUUUAUAUUCAUGAACAAUUACAAAUUUAGAUGUACUGAAGAAAGAAAAAACAAAUUAAACAAGCACAAAACUAGAAAGAAGUUUGAAUUUGAGAUGUAGUAGUAAAGCUCAAAAGUUGGUCAAGAUAAUCAGCACCCAAAUCCUCCAAAACCAACACAUUUUUUGAUCCACUUAUCUCCAAUUGAUCCUUAUAGUCAACCCUUUUGGUCUUCUUAUUUUUACUACACUUACUUGACUUUCUUCUCAUGCUAUGCUUUCUCUUGAGUGCUAAAACAGGUGAAGUGAAAGAACCAUCUUCCAAACAUGAAUUUGGCUUAAAAUUAUUUGACAUGUCUUUAAGGGAUUCCCUUACAACUUCCAUUGGGAAAUUAAGCACUGCCAAGGAACCUCUUGUACAAAAAGCUGCUUGAUCAUAAGCUAAUGCUGCUUCCUCAGCUGUGUCAAAAGUUCCUAUCCAUACUCUAACUCCAUUCCUUGUUGAGUCUCUUAUUUCAGCAGCAUAUUUACCCCAUGGCCUUCUCCUUACUCCUCUAAACACCCUCUUAUCUUUGUUGCUUUCCAAUAUUUGUGGAGAUGAUGAGGAAGAAGAAGAAGAAGAAGAAGGAAGUGAUAGUGGUGUUGAAAGUGGGGGCGGUGGUGCAUUGGGUACAGCUUCUCCAUUUGUAGGGAUAAGGGUAUUUAUAUUUACUAUAUCUGAAUUCCACCAAGUGAAAGUAUCGUGUAAUGAGUUGUUUUUAUGAUAAGAUGUACAAAUCGAUGAAACAUCGUGUGAGUCGAGGCUUCCUUGAGAGCCUGAUGAGUUGGAUUCUAUGGAGGAGGAUUCUUUGGUCUGUAGCGAUUGUGAGGGGUCACUAGAGUUGAAGAGAAGAGUAUGGUUAUUGUCGUUGUUGGUAAUGUUUAAGAAAAGGAGUAAGUCAUUAUCCCAUGAGAAAGGUUCUUGUCCUAAAUUAGAGGAAUGGUUUGAAGGGAAGAAAUGAAGGUUUUGGUAUUGGUAGAGAGAAUAAUUAAAAUCCAUAUCUCUUAGGAACCAAAGUGAUUAAGUGGCACAAAGAACAAGUUCUCUUAUCACUUGGAAUAAUUCUAUAUGUGUUAAUGUGUGUGCCUAUGCUUUAUAUACCCAUUGAAAAAAAGGGAAGAAAGCGACCAAAAAGUUUGAUUGAUCAAUCACUCCAAUUAAAAUAGUCACGAAUAAAUUAGUGCUAGUGGAAAUUGAUGUUGAUAUUAUUGGCCAAGGAGGAUGCCUCUAGAUUCUGGGUAUUUUAAUUAUUUGCUUCCAUUAUAAAAUGAAUAUAGCACCUAAAAAUCUAGAAGUAAAUCCAUUUAAGUGAAACUAAGAACGGUAUCGAUUAUUUAAUUUAUGCACAAAGUCAAAAAAAAAUAUAGCAACGUGGCAACUCCUGAAGGGAGAGAAGGUUUAACUAUAUAGGAACAACUCCAAUAUAGUGAAAUAGGAAGAAAAAAAUUAAACAGAUUGUAAAAUAAAUAAGAAUUUAUAUUCCAUUAAAAAAUUAUUUGUAAAUUAACAUCACAAUAAACAUUAAAUUAAAUCAAAGAUAAAUAUAUUCUUAUUCUUUUUAAUUAUAAAAUGAUAAUUCUUUAGAGUAACUUUUUCUAAACAAAUAUGUGUCACUCAACACAUAGAUGGAGCCCUAAGGAUUGAAGAUAAACAACCAAAAAUGGAUAAAUAUUAUCUUUGAACACAUAUUUUCAACAAAUUAAAACAUAUCCAUUUUGUUAAGAAAAUUAAAAUUAUAUGAGUAAUUAAAUUGAGUUGUCUCAUAUAAUUAGGUAUAAUUCCCUCUGCAUUUACAUUAGUAUAUAUGAUGUAUACCUGGCAAAGCUGGGUUUGAUUACCGAUAUAACUAUUUAUUUAGUAAACUUCUUUGUACACUCUACAUAAAAUAUUCUGAGGCAUAUAAAUUAAACCUAGUGUCGUAGGAUUCGUGAGUGAAAAAAGAUGUUGAAUGCAAUGUAUUUUUCCAUUAUACGAAUCUGUCUCUGUCUAACUCUAUAGACCCUAACCCUAACCUUCAUGAUAAUAAUAAUAAUAAUAAUAUAAAUAUAAUGCAAAACAUGUACAAGUGUUACAUCAGCCGCCACCCUUUAAAGAAUUCAAGUCCAUGUAAUGAAACUAUAUUCUGUUAGUUACAGUGAAAUUUGAACUUAAGUCUUUCAAAUGAAGUGAAACACUUAGUUUUUAUAGGUUUUAUUCAUUAACUAAAAACCCUUAUUAUAGUUAUUUGAUUGCAGUAUAGGAGUGACAAACAAUUGGCUUGUUCAAGUGGUACAUGAAAAAAUGUCUGAUGGAAGAGUAAGUCUCAUAUACCUGUAAAUGUUCUCAGUUUAGACAAGAUUGCCUCCAGUGCGAGGAAUCUAAGGUGAGAAAAUGGUGAAAAUGAAGGAAUCUAAGGUGAAUACCGUUAUGAUAGUUAUGGGUUUUGUGGAAGAACAUUUAGUGUCAAGUUGUAUAAUAAAGUUAUGUGUUUAGAUUGAGACCCUGACGCCUCGUGCUUUAAAGGAAAAGUGAAGCAGAUACAUGCAUCUUCAUCUCUACUACUACUUGUCCUUUUCUGAAUCACUUCAUCUAUCAGAUACUAUGGACUUUCUUUCAUUCAAAAUUCAUAGUCAAGAAGAAUAAAAUAUAGAAGCCUUUGUUGAAUGCUAUAUUAUCUCCUCCUAUUAUUAUUUUGUGGUUGAGAACGAAAUACUAACUUUCAACUGAGUUUUAGUUUUUGAAGUGAGCAAAUGAAUAAAAUAAUUUUUGUUAUGAAUGAUUAAACACUAUUUGUUUCUGCUCAUGUUAAUUAAGCUUGAAGAUAAAUUUGGGUAAGCCAUAUUGUGUUAUACCAUUUGAAGAUUGCAAAAAAUGCACUUAUUUUAUGUUUCCUUAACCAUUCUCUUAUGAUGGUUAACAAAAGUGUUGGAUGAGUGUUGGAAGUUUUUGGAAGAGAAAAGGAUAUUCCAAUUGAUGGGACAUGUUACUAGAUUGAUUAUUUGGCAAAUAAUCAUAGUUAAUGGCGGCCAUGAUAAUGCCAAAAUGGUUGAGACAAAUGCUAAGUGUACCUAAUUAAUUAUGCUACAUUCACAAACCAACACUAAUAAUUAAUGAUCAACCCCACAUAUUUGGGAAACAUGUGACGUCAAAUAUAAGCCAUUUGGGUAGGUAAACUCCUUUUUAUAGUUAUAGACAAAACUACAAUGCUAGCAAAGUAAGUAACAACCACGAAAGGAAUGACAUCAUAUUUUCCCCCCAAUCAAUUACUAAACAUUUUAAAUGUAUAUCAUAAAAAUAUUUUAAUAAGUAUGUGAUAUGUUAAUUAGGUGUUAUUAAAAUUGGACUAGUCAUCGACUCGGUCAACCUAUUAGGUUAAUGAGUCACUGGUUGGACGAGUGAGUCAUUGAUUAAAUUGGUUAACUCAGCAUCUCACUUUUAGAUUCAUAAUAAUAUUAAUAGCUAACAUUAUAUUGUAAAAAAAAUUUCUCUCAAACUAUAAUUUCAGUUAAAUAAAUAUAAGUAUGAAGCAUUUCAAGUCAAAAGUAAAUUAAUUUUAACUUUCUUCAUGUCUAAGGAGGCAAAGUUACUUCUAUCGUAUUACUUUCAUUUUGAUUUGUAUUUUCCAUGGUAAUAUCUUGUGCAUCAUCAUCCAAAUUUAAUUGACCUAUAACAAAAAACAUUUUAAAUGUAAUGUACAAUUAACAUUAACAUAAAGUGAUACCAAAUAUAAUCAAUGAAUCAUAUACAUAAUGCAAUAAAGGUACAUACUAAUAUCAUCAGAAAUUGGUUCAAUUGUCAUAGUUGUAAGAUCAUUAGGAAGUGCAUCAAUCUCUUCAAUGAUUAACAAAGGUGGUGAGUAAGUUGAUUCCCUCUCUAAUAAUAUUGUAAAAUGUGAAACAUUGAACUUCAAUAGCAGUUUUUUAACGAGUUAAAAUCCUCUCUAUUGAUUGAGAGAUAAAUACUUCAAAAAAAUAAAUUAAAUACAAUAGUUAAUUCUAAUGAAAUUAGACAUUUACUAUCAAAAAACAAAUGAAAAAACAUACAGUUGUGGGAGAAGAUCUUUUAUCGUUUUUAACCAUCAUAUCUCACAUCAUGGGUUUAUGUUGAGACGAAACCUGGGGACCACUUUGAUCUGUAAUAUUUGAUGUCGUUGUUAUUUGAAUCCUUUUCCUAACGUGAAAAUAUAAGUCAAACUAAAUAUUUUAUAAAAGGUAGCAGUGUGAUCAUUAUCCAUUUCCCCUUCUACCCUGUGCUGAGUGUUCUUUGCAGAAAAUAUAUAUUAGACAGAUAUAAGUACUUUUUUUUGGCUACAUACCAAUGGAAAUAUUUAAUUAAACAAUAAAAAUAAGUCAAAAAUAUAAUCAUCGUGACACAGUUGGCUACAUCUAUGGUACUCAAAACAACAAAGUCAUUGGUUCCAUUGGAACCGGUAAAUAUUCCGACAACUUGUUGCAAAAUGUUUCUUUCAAAUUAUGGAUACUAAUAGGUUUUUGUUUUGGGAGUCUUCUUCUUGGGUUGCCUCUUAGGAAAGGAGUUUUUCAUAUCAAUAAAGAACAGCAGAGCCCCCAAUAGAGAGAUAUUCUGCAGGUAGGAAACAAUUGCAAGUUUGCAACAAUACAUUAACUACAUUGUAUUAACAAACAUGGAAGUAAACUACAAAAAUUAAUUAAUAAAACCAAAUGAACUCAAACCUGUGUAAAUUGGAUGAAAAGUUUAAUGAAUUCUUUGUCCUCACUAUUGUAAUUGUAGAAAUCAUACAGUAUUGGAGUAGCAAUCAACUGAUGCAAAAUCUACAGGAAGAGCCAUGACUUUAAAAACUGAGCAUGUCAAUUCAAGGACAAUUUCAAUUUCACAAAAAAAAAAUUAGAUUACAAACCAGAAGGAUAGCUCCCAAAUUUGUGCCAAAUAUGAAGAGAACCCCUCCAAGGCCCUUAAGAGCAAUAGCCCCAGCAACUGCAUAUUUUAUCUGUUCAAGGUAUUGAUUAUAUCCGCAACCAUUUUAAUAUACAAAACAAUGUAAUAUGCAAUUAUCCAUGCAAAAAUAGCACCUAAAUGGAUGCACUUAUACACAACAGUUAUAUAUAAUAUGCAUUUAAGCUAAAGUAUUAAUUUUUAACUACUUGUCAGUAGAGAACCCAGAAUUGAGUAUGGGAAAGCACCAAUAAGUGUCAAGGCAUUGACUAGCAAUAUAGCCUCUCUGUUCUCAAUUAUAAGCACAAAAAAACAUAGUUUUUUGGUCUCAAGUGUAAGCACAUUUAACAACAUUUACAUAUUCCCAAUAUCACUUUUAAUUGAACCAGUUUCCCAUAUACCACAUGCUGAAUAAUAAGUAUAAUUCUUUGUAUUUUUUAUUAAAUCAAAGCAAACACCGACCCCAUUCAUUUACUACGAAUCAGGAUCCUCUGUACCUAAACUCUCAUGUCCCAAACCAAUCAUCUGCUAUUAAAUAGUAUAAAAAUGUUAUUAUAUUUUUUUAAUUUUUCUUUUCAUGUAUGUGUCAACAUUCAAUUGGGUCGGGAGACAAUGGGACAUGGCAAAUGGGACAACCAACUUACCACAUUCUUCUGAUUCCAACCAACAAGGCAACAACAUUUCCCUUAUGUUUUAAUAUUUGCUUUACUAAAAUGAUUGAUACUGAGAGAAAGGGCAAAAAGAGAGACAACAAGAGACUAACAUCAAUUUCUGGAAGUUGAACACCAACUUGAGAAUGCACUCGAUAUCGAAAGGCAUCAAAUUUUGGUCUAAGUGCUUUUGCUGCAGGUCCCCCAUCAACUCCAUAUUCAUUAAAUCUGUAUGAGCAUGGCACAGGGCACAAAAACAAUGGAACAUCAGUACAACAUAAAAACAGAGUGAAUAAAAAGAAAGAAAAACCACAAAGCAUAAUCAACAAGUGCUUCCAAAAUUAAAAUAUCAAAUGGAAAAACAUUAGCCUCUACAUUGUGAUUAAGUUUAGACAGUAAGCAUUAGCAUUUAGCUGGUAACACCAUAAACUUUCUAAUACCUAUAAUACUUAAAUCAGUACUCGAUAACAAGGGCUUAUCCAUAUAGUUAAAUAUACAUAUAUAAUAUAUUAACAUUAACGGUAAAAAAUUAAUAAAAAACCAAAUUUUUUAUUUUCAUUAAAAAUUAAUUUAAAAUAAAAUUCAAUUGAAAACCGGCUAUAUGACCAGUUUCGACCGGUUAAAACUGGUAUAAGUAGUGUACCGUACCUGCCGGGCACAAUUUUUUUUUGUAACACUGGUUAAAUCAGCUAAUUUUACCGAAUACUUUGUUAGCCAAUUGUGCCAAACACAGUCAUAGUGAAAUUAAUUAAAAAAAAUAGAUUGACAAGGAGAAAUUGGAUAAUGUUAAUUUAAUGCAUUGUUAUUAAAAUAAAAAGUAAAAAUGAUUGUAUAAUCUGAAGAGCAAUUAAUUAUGAAAGAUCACAGAAUUUAAAAGCAUACAUGAGAAGAUCUAACAAGUAUACUAAGAAAAUGAAUGCAUGCAUAUAAAUUGAGUGAUUGAUUGAGGCCAAAAACGAAAUAAAACACAGAUCUGGUGAGUUGUUUUGGUGAAAGAAAGAGUUGAAGCGUUAAACGUAACAGAUCGAAGCAAAGGAAGUAGAAAUAAAAACGAAAACAGGUAAAACAAAUAAUAAGAAGAAUAAGGUGAAUAAAUAUAAUGAAAUUUGAUGUAUUAAUAAAUUAGAAUUGAAGUAGAAGAGUGCAUGCAAAUAAUAAUGAUAAGAAAUGGAAAGAGAGGAAGAAAAAGAACAAACUGUUGGUAAGCGGAAAGAAUGAAGAGAGUAGCGAAGAGGAGUCUUCCAAAAAAUGAAGCGAAAGCCAUUCCUCAAUUCGAGAGAGAAAAAGGGGAGAGAAGAAAAAUGAUGUAUGUUAUGUUUUUCCCGGUCAAAGCACGAGAACGAGAACGAGAACGAGAAAGAGAAAGAGAAAGUGAAUUGAAACUAAUACCAUCUUUCUGUUUUGUCAGAAUGGGCUUUCUUCAGGCCCAAUAAUUUCCAUGUUUUCUCAUGAAACAACAUAUUGCUUGGCCUUCGAUAAUGUAAUGUAACGUACAUGUGUCAAAGGCAAAAGGUUCCAAAUAGAUUAAAAAUAAACCUCCAACAAAGACAAGGAUCGAGAUCGAUCAUCUGUCCAUACGGUGUCCCACUUCAUGUCUCAAAUUUUAUUUUAUUACUUUUGCUUUUAAAUUUUUUAUUUUAUCCAUAUAUUAAUAUAUGAUUGCUUUAAGACAGGGAAUAAGACACAGUUGAGAUAGCUGACAGCUCUGUGUUUGUUAAGUUUGAGUGAUAGUUUAAUUUAGUUGAAUUAAUUUAUUGAAGCAGUUCCUGUAUCAUGGCAGAGUUUUGAACAACUGCCCCCUAUUCAAACCACAUUUCAUUUCAUUUUAAAACCGAAUCUGAAUAAACUACUCAUAAGUAAACCCAAUAUUAUAAAAUGGAGCAUUAACUACAGAUUAAAUAUUUGUCUAUUAAAGAUUAAAGAAUAAUGUAGUACCUGCCAUUCGUGCGUAAUGAGCUUCACACGAAACACUGCAACAUUUAUAAUAUUUAAUUUAUAGCUUAUUUGGAUCCACGAAUGUUCUAUUUUUUUAAUAUUUACAUGAUUAAUCAUGUAUUUGUGUGUGUUGUAGAGAAGUAGAAACUAAAAUAUACCUUCUUCUACAAUAACUAUACAUUGUAUUACAAAUUCAUCUGAAAUGAGUGAAAUUGCAUGUUAGCAAUGAUUGAGUAUAACUAUAAACAAAGACCAAAACGAUUCUUCUUCAAAGGUUACAUUAGGUGGAGAACAUCUUCUCAAUAUUUGUGUUAGAAUGUGAUUAUUAGCUAGAGUUGAAUGUGGAGCCCAUUACACACCUGGGAUGGGUCUACAUGCUGGUUCAUAUAUGGGACAGAAGCAAGUGAUUGAACUCCUAGGUUUAAACUGUUGAAGUUUGAAAAACCAGAAGCUCAAUUCCUUCUGCUGGUUUUGUUACAGAAAGACAGAAAAGGAAGGUAAUGAAGAAGAAAAGGAAGUCGUGUAUAGAGAAGAGAAGAAUUGGAGUUUGUGAGUGAGAAUUAUUGAAGGAAUGAAUGAGAAUUAAGAAGGAGAAAAUCUUGCAAUGAUUGAAUGAUCAAAAACUGAAUCAUUCUAUAUUUGGAAUGCAUUAACUACCUUUUGAAUUACAACCUUCUAUUUAUAGAAGGAUUACAACUAACUUUCAAUUAGCAAUGAAUUACAUUUUUACACACCCUCUUAAUUCAUGCUAUCUAUACUAACAAUACCUAAUUGAUUCCUUUGCCUUUCAAAAUCACUCCUCUUCAACGGCUUUGUUAAUAUGUCUGCUAGUUGCUCACUUGAUUUGCAGAAAACCAAGCUUAAUUUGCUCUUCUCCACUUGAUCUCUUAGGAAAUGGUAUUUGGUCUCUAUAUGUUUGCUUCUUCCAUGAGCUACUGGAUUCUUUGCCAAGUUUAUUGUUGAUUUGUUGUCAACAAAUAUCACCAUUGGCUCAUCAUUCUGCAAUCCCAAUUCCAUGAGUAGUGCCUUCAACCACAGAGCUUGUUGUCCACCAAAACAUGCUGAUAUAUACUCAGCUUCACAGGAAGAGAGUGCAACCACUUUCUGUUUCUUUGAGCACCAACUUAUAGGUGCUUCACCAAGCUUGAAUAAGUAGCCACUUGUGCUUUUUCUAUCAUCUUUAUCACCACACCAAUCAGAAUCAGUGUAUCCACGAAUAAUGUUCAUCUUUCUGCUCUGUUCAGUUUUUCUGAGUGCUGGAAACAUUAUGCCAUAGUUCAUGCUUCCUUUGAGAUACCUCAGUAUUCUCUUCACUGCUGCUAGGUGAGAAUGCUUAGGAUUUUCCAUAUACCUGCUCACCAAUCCCACUGCAUAGGCUAGAUCAAGUCUUGUGUUGCAAACAUACCUUAGAGACCCUAUCAUUUGUCUGAACAUAGUUGAGUCCACUGCACCAUCUUCUAAAUUUUCAGUGUUAAAGUUGCAUAGAGAAUGACCAGUUUCAAUAGGUGUUGAGACUGAAUUACACUCUGCCAUGUUGAAUCUUGUAAGUAUAUCAGAGAUAUACUUCUUCUGGUGCAUUAAGAUCCCUGCUUCUGUCCUGAGAAAUUCAAUUCCUAGGAAGUAUGAAAGACUUCCUAGAUCAGUCAUCUCAAACUCAUGUUUCAGCUUCCUUUUACACCAUUCAAUCUGAUCAUUGUUGUUGCCUGUGAUGAGCAGGUCAUCCACAUAUAAGCAUAUCACUAUAGAGGCUUCAGUAGUGACUUCUUUGGUGUAAAUGCCAUGCUCAUUGAUGCAUCUUAGAAAACCAAGUUUCAGCAAGAAUCCAUCUAUCCUUUUGUUCCAAGCCCUGGGUGCUUGUUUCAACCCAUACAAAGCUUUGUGCAAUCUAUAGACUUUGUGUUCUUGAUCUGGAACUGUGAAACCAGGAGGUUGAACCACAUAUACUUCCUUGUCUAUUGGACCAUUUAAGAAGGCAGAUUUCACAUCCAUUUGGCAAAUUAACCACCCUCUUGAACUUGCAAUAGCUAUGACAAGCCUUAUGGUUUCUAUUCUGGCCACUGGUGCAAAAACUUCUUCAAAAUCCAAACCUUGUUUCUGCAAGAAUCCUUUUGCAACAAGUCUUGCCUUGUGCUUAGAAACAGUUCCAUUAGGCUUCAGUUUCACUUUGUACACCCAUUUUACUGGGAUAGGCUUCUUGUUCUUUGGCAAUGAUGUAAGCUCCCAUGUGUCAUUUUUUUCAAUGGAAUGAAUUUCUUCCUUCAUUGCUUCAAUCCAGCAUUGUUCUUUCAUUGCUUGAUCAAAUGAGACAGGUUCCAUNNNNNNNNNNNNNNNNNNNNNNNNNNNNNNNNNNNNNNNNNNNNNNNNNNNNNNNNNNNNNNNNNNNNNNNNNNNNNNNNNNNNNNNNNNNNNNNNNNNNGCAGUCAUCACAUACAUCAUCUGAGGCUCUGAAAGUUGGUAAUCCUAGGACCAUUUCACCUUGACUUAGUAAUUCAAGACUCUUGAAGUUAAGGUGUCCAAAUCUUUGAUGCCAAAUCCACUUCUCAUCUGUCAUGGAUCCUAGACACUUUUGAUUUCCAAGCUGAAUGCCAAUCUUGAAAGUCCUGUUUUGUGCUAGAGGGGCUUUCAAGACUAACACUCCCUUUUUGUUGAAUACUUUGAGCAUCUUCUCUUCUAAUCUCAUCUUGUACCCUUUCUCAAGCAAUUGUCCAAGACUUAGAAGAUUGCUCUUCAUUCUUGGCACAUAUAGCACACUUGAGAUGUAUGAGAUUGAUCCAUCUUUCUUCUUGAUCAUCACUUUACCAAUUCCUUCUGCCUUGAUAAUGCUAUCAUCUGCAAACUUGAUUCUGGUUUCAACUGAAUUGUCCAAUGUUACAAACCAAUCCUUAUUCCCUGUCAUGUGAUUUGAACAACCUGAAUCAAGAUACCAACUACUUGAAUUCUGUUCUUGUUGAUUUGUCACCAUGAGUAGAGCAUCAUCUGAUUCACUAAUUCUUUGACAAGAAUCAAUGCUUCUGGCCAUCAAUAGCACCUCUUCCUCUGAUUCCUCAUCUUUGGCUAGCCUUGCUUCUGCUUCUUUGGUAUGGAUGACUCUUCUUUACUUACAUUCUGAGGCAAAAUGUCCUCAAUUUCUGCAGUUGAAGCACUGAAUUUUGCUCUUGUCCUUCUUGUGUAUUCCAACCAACUGAUUACUCCCUUUCUUGGCUCUACUGACUUCACCACCAUUACCCUGAUUGCUAGAGUUAGUUCUUUGUUGUGAAUUCAGUCCAAGCUUCGAAUUGUCAGUUUCAAAUCUCCUACCACCUUGCCACUUUGCCUUGUCUCUUCUGAAUCUAUCAUUCUGUCCAGGACCACCCUUCUUCUUGAACUGUGCACUCAAAGCAUGAUCUGACUGUCUGUAGAUCUGCCUCUCCAUGAAUCUUUGCUCAUGCACUUCUAAGGACCCUUGCAGUUCAUCAAUUGUUAGGUUGUCAAGGUCCUUUGCUUCCUCUAUUGCUGCUACAAUGUGAUCAAACUUGGGAUGGAGAGUUCUGAGAAUUNUCAGCUAUUGAUUCUUGUUCAUCCAUUUGCAUAAGCUCAAACUGUCUUUUGAGUGUUAGCAACCUCACCUUCUUAACUCUCUUUCCACCAGUGUAAUUCUUCUCCAAGAUUUCCCAAGCCUCCUUUGAACAAGAUGCUGCAUAGAUCUUUUCAAAGUUGGCUCUAUCCACACAUUGGUGGAUCAAGAAGAUUGCCUUGCAAUCUCUCUUGUUUGCUUCCCUAUACUCCACUGAGUUCUCAUCAACCAUUGGCAUACCAGCUUUCACUACAUCCAGGCAUUCUUGAAAUCCAAAAAUUGCCUUCAUUUGAAUGCUCCAAUGGUCAUAAUUCUUCUCAUCAAGAAUUGGAAGAUUCAUUGCAAACCCAUUUGAUGUUGCCAUUCUUCUAGCUAAGCUUCAGAAUUCCCUACUGUCUUGUAGCUACGUUUUCAAUCUGUGAGCUUCACUUCUUGAAGCUUCUUGCACCCAAUCUUGGCACCACCACAGACCCUGACCGUAUAGCUCUUGAUACCACUGUUGAAGUUUGAAAAACCAGAAGCUCAAUUCCUUCUGUUGGUUUUGUUACAGAAAGACAGAAAAGGAAGGUAAUGAAGAAGAAAAGGAAGUCGUGUAUAGAGAAGAGAAGAAUUGGAGUUUGUGAGUGAGAAUUAUUGAAGGAAUGAAUGAGAAUUAAGAAGGAGAAAAUCUUGCAAUGAUUGAAUGAUCAAAAACUGAAUCAUUCUAUAUUUGGAAUGCAUUAACUACCUUUUGAAUUACAACCUUCUAUUUAUAGAAGGAUUACAACUAACUUUCAAUUAGCAAUGAAUUACAUUUUUACAUAAACAAUUUCAGGGCAAACAAAACAAAACAAAUCUCUUCCAUUUAUCUUAAUUCUUAAUUACCUUCUAUUUCAUCAAAUAUAUAAGGUACGGAUACAUAUUAUUCAGGAGAGAAACGACAAGAUCAGAUACAUCCAGUCACCACACAAAAUGGGUUUUGUUAAUGCUACCUCUUUUGUCGUAUAGGAUGUUGAAUGGAAUCUCACGUUUUUUCUGACAAAUAAAAAUUUGGGAUACGGAAAAAAUAAAGAACACUGUAGGCCAGUAAGGGAACCUAAUGUAAUUAAAUAUACCUUAUUCUAAUCCAUCCCUUACCCUUGCUAUGGUGUAUAUAAAGAUAGUGAUAAAUGAUUAUGAUUUGCACAAAACUGAAUUAAGAGAGAGCCAGAAACCCCCCCAAAAAUUCUAAUAAGAAAGGCUAAGAUGGCUGGUUCUGGUUCACCUUGUGGAGCCUGCAAAUUUUUUAAAAGGAAAUGUGUGAGAGGUUGUGUUUUUGCACCUUACUUUUGUCAUGAACAAGGUGCUUCCCAUUUUUCAGCCAUCCAUAAAGUGUUUGGUGCAAGCAAUGUCUCAAAGCUUCUUCAACACCUCCCCGUGAGUGAUCGAUGUGAAGCCGCAGUCACAAUCUCAUAUGAAGCUCAAGCUAGAGUACAGGAUCCAAUUUAUGGCUGUGUUGCUCAUAUUUUUGCUCUCCAACAGCAGGUUUGUUAUCUUCUCAUUGUCACUAGGAAACUUUGUGUGUAACUAAAAACCCUAGCUAAUAGGUCUUGUCCCCAAGAACUUGGGUUGGAUUCCCAUGUUUAAAUCCUAGUUGAGGUUGGUAGUUUUCUCUCACCCUAUGGUCUAGAACAUCUCUUUGCUGUUGAUUUUGAAUAAGUCAUAUAGCUAUACUUUACUAAUACAUGAUCUGCAAGAAAAUGUAUCUGAACUAUUGGUUUGGGACUAUCUCAUAAUUUAAUAUCCUGAUAAGUUACAAGCAGCAAUAUUGCUUAGUUUGUAACUAAAAACCCUAGCUUGCUAAUUUCGGCUUAUUAAUUACUAUAUGAACUGUGGUUUUGAUCUUUGUAGGUGGUCAAUUUACAAGCACAGCUAGCUUAUCUAAGGGAACAAGCAGGUCAAAGUUGUUUCAAUCUCUCUGGUGCUGAAAACCCUAAUGAGAAAUACAUUGGAAAAUCUACUAGUUCUUUCCCCAUGGAUCUGCAAAAUUGUUUCCAGAUGGAAAAUCCGAACAUGGGUUCACAAUUUCUUCCCAACUUUUAUAAUAAUCCUUCAACAACACAACACUAUGGAAAUACUAAGGACCAAAACCCUAUUGGGAACUAUGAAAGUUCAGGAACUACCCUUGAUGAAAGCAUCUCAUUUUCUAGCUUUGAGGAGAUUUGUAACUCCAUGUCCUAUGAAAUGCAAAGGGAGUGGGGCUUUCACAAUGAAAGGGGUCAUGACCUUCAGUGAGUGGCUUAUAUGAAAGAUCAGAGUUUGCAAGAGAGAAUUUUUGAAGAAGACUUCAUCAAUUUUGAUUGAUGUUAUAUGAAGCACUACUUCAAUUUCUCUUCCCAUAAAUAAGCUUAGGAAGCCUAGAAUUAAUGUUCAUAUAUAUAAUAUAAAUUGGAGUGAAAAAUCCACCCGACUAUUGUAUUAUUUAGUCUAUCUAGUGUAAUAUUAUUUUUAGUAAACUAUUAGCAUAAUUGUUAGAGAUAAAACUCUGGAUUUCUAUGAGCUAAAUUGAGUUUGUUUAUGGGCAUAGGGAAGAUACUAAGUGUUGACCUAAGAGGUGGAGCCACUUGAAUACUUUUCUGACAUUCUUUCCUUUCUUAUGUAAAACUGGUUUGCAUUGGCAAAUAUUUGGAAUAGACUAAGCGCUAUGGUAAUCCCGAAGUAUAUCUGAUAUAUAAAUUCAGAAACCGUAUAUUAAUUACUAAGAUAGAGGAAAAAGACAUUGCAGAAAGAGCUCAUCAAUUAGAGUACAUUGGUUAAUGAAACUAAAGAAUAUGUUUAUGCUUCCCUAUACACAUGCACACACAUUCUCCCUGAUCAAUGAGUUUUCUAGGCAAGGAACUUCGGUGUGUGUGUGUGUAUAUAUAUAUAUGGAACUAUGGAUCUAUGACAACACAUAUUGCAUUUCUUCAUAUCUCUCAUUUUACCACCUUUAUGUUUUCAGCUAGUGAAUUGGGUCGAUAAGCAUGUUUAAUUAUAUAUUAAGGAAUCUGUUAACUACUGUAUUUAGGAUGUUGGUUAAGUAGUCGAAAAUAUAAACACUACAAUGAAAAUGCUUUCAUAUUCUUAUUGUAUUUGAAUACACAAUUUUCCGAUGCAAGUUUUCUAUCUAUUAUUCCUUAAACAACCGUGAUAUUAGACCCUUCGUAAACACUCCUUAUGUUGAAUUAUUCUACAUUUUAAAAAUAAAGAUUUUGAUCUGCUAUAGUUCCGAAUUUAAUUAGGUGAUUAGGUCUUUGAAGAAAUAUAUAUUACUUCUGUCAAAUGUUUGGCUAGUGAGAGAACUAAUUGGGUCAAUUUUACACCUUACAAAUUUAUUGAGAUUUUAGCAAAUUAUGAGUUUGGCUUAAUGGUAAAAUUGUUGCUUAAUGACUACAAAAUUACAGAUUCAAAUACUAAAAAUAAUUUCUCUGCUUGUGGGUUGAUAAGUUUACAUACAUCUGUCCAUAGAGUCCUUUUAUGGAAAUGGAGAAGGGUCUACGAAACAAGCUCUUUGUGGGUUAUUGUUCUCAUUGAAUAUUCAACAAGUGAAUGAGUCGAGCAUCUAAAUCAACCAAAGCCUUAUAUUUUGACUAUGUGUUGGAUCUUGAAACUACUUUCUCUUUUAUUGAGGACCAAGAAACAAGUGUCUUACCAUGAAAGAUACAUUAAUCUAUCAUAGACUUUUAAUCAUCCAUACUAGUGACCCAGUUUGCAUCUGAAAAUCCUACUAAGUCUAGAUUAUGAGAAAGUUUAAUAUGUAGGCAGUGGUGGAUGGUGUCUUGGAGAUAUCUCAAAAUUCUCUUUAUAUCAUGCUAGUGAUUUAGAACGGGAGAGAUCAUGAAUUAGCUAAGCUUAAAGAGGAUAUUAUGUCACAUCAUAUGUUUGUCAAGUAAUAUAAUGCAAUGCCCCUAUAGCCUAACAAGCCCCACAAAAAACUAAAAUGGUCAUUAGUGAUAGUCUCACAACUUUUCAAGACUUCAUAUAAAUGAAUAGUAGAUAAUAUAUUAAUUAUAUAUAAAUUUUUACAGUAUAAAUAUAUAAAUAUUACUCUAUAAUAUAAGUGAACUGAGAAGUUCUUUAAAACUGUUUUAUAUAUGAAAAAGGAAACAAUCUUUACUAAGAGGUUCAUAGUUUUAUAAAUAUGUAAGAGGAAGAAGAAUGGAUAAAGCAACUCGCAUAGAAUAUAUAAUGUGCAUAUAUCUUGAUGAAUAUGUUAUCGAUUGUUUGUGCUAUAUUAGAUGAAUGUUUAAGGGACAGACCUAAAGCCUAAGGCCGUGAUAUGGUAUCUGUAUUCUGGUAGGACAGUUGCCUUGCUUUAUUAAUGAUUUCACAGUUUAGGCCCAAAUACAAUUCUUCAAAUAACAACAUAAAUGAGAUUAAGAAAAGUUAUUAGAGAAUGCUAAUGGUUUUAACAUUAUUUAAUAUAUACAGUAGUUAACAACUAUACUAAUCUGAGUCAACAAGAUAACUCAAAGAGACUUGAGAGACUUAGCAAACUUAUCUGCAAGAAAAUAAUUUCUUUUGGAUUGAAUCCACGGACAGAAAAAGCCUAAUGCUUAGUUUAGGCUUAUCAGCUAUGGUCAUUUUUCUUCUUCACACUCUCACUAUAUACAACACUAGGCUCUAACAACCAAGAACUAGCUUGCUCUAAUUUAUGAGUAAUAUAUUCUCACUUUUUUUACAUUGGGGUGACAUAAUAUGACUCAGACUUAGCUUUGUCUCAUUAUAUUCCUAAAGACUACUGAUUAAUUUCAAAAUUUAACGUUCAUUAAUUAAUAGAAUAAUUUAACUGACUGUAAUCACAAAUUCAGACACAAAAUAUGGGGCAAAUAAUAUUACCCCUUUAUAUAUAAUCAUUGAUCACUUAUCUAUUAUUAUUUCUAAGGUAAAAAAAAGAGUGCAAGAAUAUUAUUAUUUUUCUCAGUUAAUUGCUAGCUAGCCUAAUUAGUUCCUCAUCAUCCUGAGUGCUAUUUCUUGCAGCUCACACAAGUCAUUGUUAUGUGAUCUUUUCUUAGAACAAGCUUGGAAUGAAAAAUCAUCUCUUCUUUGUAUAUCUUGCAUGACCAUUCCAUCAUUGAUAUUGUUGCUAUGAUCAAUUGAUUCAAGUGAGCUUUGAGGAGAUAUGGGAUUCAUGUGACAAAAUGGAUUCAUUGGUUGUCCUUGUUGGCCACUAACAUUCCCUGAUGGCCACUGAUGAUUCUCUAUGUUCCUGGAUUCCACCAUGUCUUGAGCCAGCUGAGAUUUCACUUGCAUUAGUUGUGCUUGCAACCAACCCACCUAAUCAAUUAAAUAAAAAGAAAAUGUAAGAAAAAGUUGAAGCUGAAUUAAUAAAUACGACUAGAAAUAUAUAUUUUUUGUUUAUAUGAAUGUAAAGUUUAGGUGAGUUGGAAUGCUAAAGUUUUCUGGAGGUUUCAAGGCACUAUGAGCGCAUAGAAGUAUACUUAUAUAAUACCCACUAAUGAGGUUAUUAGAAACAUUUUGUUUGUGUAUUAAUAAUUUGACUGUCAUGUAUAUUUAUACAACCAAUAAAUAUUUUGUGUGUGUAUUAAUAAUUUGACUAUGGUGUCAUUUAUGUUUAAUUUGACUAUGUAUCAAUAAAUAAUAUGCUUGGACCGACUCUAGGAGAAUCAUAAAAGCCAAAGGUACGUAACGAAGAGAAAAUGACAGGAGUAAUGUGAUUAAUGACCUUAUUGAUUUUUCCAAUUUCUAACAUAUAUGAAAACAACCUUAUUAUUUAUAUAAACGAUUUCUAUUAUAUUAUUCUAGCACCACAAUUUUUGCUUUAGCUAAAUAAGAGAAACACACUAGUCAAUAUACAUUUGGUUUCUUUCUUUAAUAUUUUUUUCCAAAUUAGUAAAGGUAGUAAAGGCGUAAAAGAAAAGUGGCGAGAACCAAAAGUAUUUUCCAUAUAAUUUUAGAAGUUAAUUUUGAUGAGCAUUGUAAUAAUUAAUAUAUAAUGGUACCUGUUGUUGUAAGGCAAAAAUGUGUGAAACACAGCCAUAAACGGGGUCUCUGACACGAGCCUGAGCCUCAUAAGCUAUGGUGACAAUAGCCUCACACCGAUCAUGAACUGGUAUAUGUGAAAGCAAUUUAGAAACAUUGCUUGCACCAAACACUUUAUGUAUGGCUGCAAAUCUUGCAGGCCCUUGUUCUGAGCAAAAAUAUGGUGCAAAGAUGCAAUCAACUGCACAUUUUCUUCUUAGAAACUUGCAUGCUCCACAAGGAGAACCAGUUCCAUUUGAAGAAGUCAUAGUGUAAUAAACAAACUACGAAGAGAGAAAUAUAUGGAAAGUGAGAAGUAAGAAGAAAGGAAUGGAAUAAAAUUUGUAUAAAGCACACGGGCACACUAGGAAAUGGUGCAAAAAUCUGUGAGGAUUAUGGUGUGUCAGAGGGGAGGGAGUAAUGAAUGAAUGUGAAAUAGUUAUAGGGAAUAAGGGGUAAAGGGUCUUAUAAGAAAAUGUGAAUGGGGGACAUGUGAGGCUUGUUUGUAGGAUUCUAAGGGGACACUUCUUAAUGGUACAUGCGGCUCGUUUAAUUUUUUUAAUGGGGUUAGACCAAGUUAAUGUAAUUUGGACUGUUUUCAUCCAUGUCUACUUUAUUUUUCUAAACUUUAAUUUAGAAGCCAAUAUUCUAUUGUCUUUGGUUAGGAUCCAUUUAUAGCUUAAACUUGUUCCAUGGUUACUUAUUAUUGAUCAUGAUGAUAUGUUCCAUUUAUACAAUAAUAUAAUGAUUUUUAAAUGAAUGCAAUAUUUGUAAAAAAGGGUUUUAUAAAAUAAUAGCCGACAAUAUUUGUUUGGGUAGUGUAUGCGUGUAAUGGGGUGGGGUUGGUUAGGUUUUUGUUGAAUGAAUGAUUAAGAAAGAAAUGAUUAAUAAAUAGUUGGAUCUUAUUUUUGCGCCGAACGCCGUACUUAGGAACUGCUGCCAUUUGUUCUUUUCUGACUCCUACUUAUUGUGAGAAAAACUUGAUUAUGUUAACGUGUGAAUUGUAGAUUAGAAGCUUUCCUUGCCCUUCAUGUAUAUGACUAAUAAAUUUAAUACAUUAUAUGAUAUAAUUGAAUUUAAGCAGCAUUCCUUUAAUACCUGCAAAUGAACCAAGAGCUUGAGCAGCUUCAUGUGCCAACAAAUUUGACGUAUCCCUUGUGGCAAUAUAUCCAUAAAACAUACUAUUGCGUGUUACUGCCAUAGUUGUAAUCAUAUAUCCUCAUAUAUCAGUUACUUUUCAAUAUCUUUCUAUGUUUAGUCAUGAAAAUGAUUUGGAAGGAUAUUUCAUAUUUGUUUUCUUCUUCACAUAUCUGCCCAAAUUAAGGGCAUAUUAUCAUGUAUCUUAAUUUUUCUGAUUUUAAUGAGAUACAUUUUAAGAUGUUUAAACUUGCUAAUUUAUUUUUCUAUUUAUAGUGGCUUGGGACACCUAGUACUUGAUCAUUGUGAACAACAAUAUAAGCCUUAAAUUCAUAGGUUCAUGAUGGGAGAUCUAGGUUAAUAUGUGUUGGAUUAUAUUCAAACAUCACAACUUGUCUUAAGGGUUGUGACUUGUGACUUGGGAAUUUAUGUAAAUAUGGGAAGAUAUAGUUUUCCCCCUUUACAGACUCGUAUAAGAAUUUGAAGAAUGUCCUUACUACACUUUUAACAAUUACCUUUUACUAACUGCAGCUACGUGAUCUAUUCUUGUAUGGCACACAAAUUAACUUUUUAUGUGCACGUUCUUACUCCUAAUAGAUUCUCUCUUAACAAUGGGAAAAAUGAUAUGUAAUCAAAUAAAUAAAAGAAGUUUAUAUUAAAAAUGUACACAAAAAUUGUGCUGCUAUAUUAUUAUCAUACUUACACAUUGAUCCUUUACAUCAAGAAUGAAAAGAAUUCCUCUAUGGAGUAAAAAUAUAUCAUAAACUUGGGCUAAUAUUUGGUUACCAGCCUCGUCAGUUGUUUGCAUGCACACUGCUGGUCCUUUUCAGCCUAUGUAAUAAUAAAUCUUACACUCUUUUUUUUUAAUACAAACUGUUAUUCUCACCUAUUUUAUAAUUAAUGAUCAAAAGUAGUCUUUGUUUCUAAACAAAAAUCUUUUGAUAAACAAUUAUAGUGUAAGUGUGAAAAAAUGUACUACUUAAUAGAAUGAAUGAGUUGAACGAGUACACAUCUGUUGUCUUACUCCUUUGUGUCAUCAAUUAGAGGUGAUGAUACAAAAAGUGGGACAACAGAUGUGCUCCCGAGUUAAACAUUUGUCUUUCUUGCUCAAGGAUGAUCAUUGGAUCCCCCGGACCCUGGUGCAGAGCCAUUUGGAAGUGCCUGGAAAAGAAGCCCAUAUUCCCUAGACCAUUGAAAAUGUGACAAUAGAGGCCUUCCUUCUACUCCACCUUGAGGAGAAGCAACAAAAAUUGCCAUGAUGAUCAGCACAAUUAUCAAGAGGAUCUUGUUGUAAGAGAAAGCCAUUUUUAUAAGUGUGAUUUUGAUCUUCCUUAGAAUGAGGUUAGAAGUAUAGAAUAUGAAUAAUGAAAUGUUUUGGUGUGGAGAAAGGAGACAUAACACUUGGUUUAUUUAUAGGGAAUGGAAUUGACCCUUUCUUUGGUAUGCUAUGUUCUAGUUUUUUAAUUUGCUUGACUACUCCCAAUAGUUUGAAAGUUGAAAAAUACCUUGGACUCCAAACAUCGUUUAAUGAGCAACUAGUGUUUGAAAUCGCACACAAUUACGUCCGAAAUACUUAUGCAACAAAUGAAAUUCAAAGUAAACUAAAUGUAUAUUAAACCAAUUCUUAAAAAUAAUUAGUAUCAAUAUUUAUAAUUUAUAAUCAUAUGGGAAUACAAAAUAUGGUUAUACCUGGACUAUGAAUAUUUAUUAAAAAAAACAUGUACUAAACCAGGUUUGUGUACGGAUGGGAGUAUAAUAAAUGAGUAUCUCUUUAUUCCCAUAUUUGCAUAUUCACUCUCUUGCAUGUCCCAAAUAUUAAUUUUCUGUUAUUCAAUUCCUUGCAAAGAUCGGUUCCUAGAUUUAGCUAAAUCUAAUGUCAACUAUGAUUUCCUAAGAGGGAUUGAAUGAGACGUGGGAUAGUAAGAGACUAAGAGGGAUUGAUUUUGAUAAAUUCAAAACACAAAAGGAAGCAACACAGGAAAGUAAUGGAUUCUUUCCCAUGACCCGACCCAGCAUUCUAAGACCACGUAGCUGAAAAGUAUAGUUCCUCAUUUUUCAAACUAUUUGAAUAUACUAAUUAAAUAACUUCCUAUGCCUUUUUUGGGAUAAAUUGCACAUGCCUUUCUCCCUCUCUUCCUCGGCGAGGAUGCAUCAUCAUUACCAAGAUCUAUGCAACAAACCCGUGCUUACUGAGGGAACAAUUUUGCUUCACUGUUGUCACCUACUACACACCCAUUCGAAGAAUUUCCAUAAGCUUGACUUGCCCCUAGUGCUUGUGCUGCUUCAUAUGAAUCACAAGUUAAACCACAGACUUCAUGAAGCUUUUGCAACACGUACCGCUUCUUCGCCUCACCCUCCGCAUCUGGCUCAUUCCUUCUACCAUCUUUACGAUCCUGACAGUACCCAUCCCCCCAUUUUAGGGCAUAACCACCAGAUUUCAAACCAACAACCUGCCAGAAAAUGGCAUAAUCCCACUUGGACACCUCAACAAGGUGGCAUAACCGGCAUUGGAAAAAACAUCCUUUGAAAUGGCAGAACUGAAAAAGGCAACAGCAUCAGUUCCCACCACAGAUUCCAGCAAAACCUUACCUUCCUCUUUCUCACAAAAUCUCUCACCCGUCAUCUUCUUUUGGAUGAAUAAUGAUAGAAAGAUCUCAAAUUGAGCCCGAAUUUCUUGUAACCAAUAAUAAUCAAAAGGUCAAAAACAAAUGAAUAAGGUUGUAUUUGAAAGCAUGCAGCAGAAAUGUAGUUAGAGAUAGAAAAAUAGAGAUAAAGUUAGUGAAUGAAUAUAAGAAAGAAUGUAACUUUGUGGUUAUUGGGCAGAAUGACAAUAACAACAAAGUGAGGGUAGUGAAAGAGAAUAAAAAGAGAUAGAGAUAUGAGAUAAACCUGAGAUUCAGAAGAGAAGAGGUUCAUUUGAUUCAGUUCCGGAUCUGAAAUGAAAUUGAAAUCAGCAAUAGCAAAUAACAAAUAACAAAUAACAAAUAGUAAUAUCCACUAAUCCUGCAUUGCUUUUCUUCGAUGAAGAGAUACUGAGUUAAGGAUAAGGAAAACAAGUUCCUUUUUUAUUGUAAAUAUCAAUUUAACUUUACAUAUAAAUAAAGUUUAUCAAUAUAUAACUCAAAUAAUAAUUAAUAAAUAUGACAUUUGUUUCUUUACUUUUCUUUUUGUUAAAUCGAAAUUUUGGUUAAUUAUAAUUAAUUUAGUUACUUUGGUUAUGUCAUUAGCUUGAUUUAAAAUUUGAACUUAUGGAAAAUAGGUUGAAUUUGAUGGAAAAUAUCAUUCAAAAUAUAAAAGGGAGGUUGUGGAAAAAAUCCACUACUCAUGUAUUAUUAUUAUUCAAUCUAGCAUCAUCUAAACGUGAUAACAUUAUUUGCUUAGCAACAACAUAGUACUACAGUACUACUUUUAACGACAUUGAACAGAACAUGAAAUCUGUAUCUACAUUACUGUUGCUUUCAAUCAACCCUUUUUUGGAUCUUCACCGGAAACCCACCCUUCAUUUGGGAGGUCAAAUAUGAAAUGAACUCCGGAUCUGCCACCAGUGGCAGCACCCUAAAGUGGUUGAGAACACUAGCAACAACCCUUUUCAUUUGCAAGAAAGCCAUUUCUUUCCCUAAACAAAUCCUAGGACCUGCUUGAAACACUGGGUAUGUAAAAGAAUCCUUUCCCACAAAGCUCCACUUCCUUGAACCUGAUUCAACCACACUCUCCAACCACCUUUCAGGUCGAAACUGAGCCCAAUCAGAACCCCAAAUAGAUUCCAUUCUCCCCAUGGCGUAAACAUGAUAUGUUACUGACAUACCUUUCUUCACAAUUGUCCCAUCUGGCAAAACAUCAUUGUUCAUUGCCUCCUUACCAUCCAUUGGAACUGGAGGGUAUAACCUCAUGCUUUCACUCAAUGCAGCAUGCGUGUAAACCAUAUCCUUUACUUCUUCAUACACUGUUACACCUUCUGAUUUUUCUCUAAUCUCUUUAAUUAUCUCUUUUUCCACUCUUGGAUUUUUAGACAAUAGCCAAAAGAACCAUGUUAAUGCCGCUGAUGUUGUGUCUUUUCCUGCUAAAAUGAAGCUUAUAACUAUAUCCAUCACGAAAUCCUCAUCAGAGUGCCCUGGAAUAUGGUAUUCAAUACUUUUGUUAAAUAAUUAAGUCCAAUCUAAAACCUGUGUUUGUUUAAACUUUUAAAAAAGUGAUUUUUAGCUUAUUUAAGAAAGUGAUUUACAUUUAUUACAUUUAUACUAACCUGAACUCAAGAACCGUGAAAGCAUGUCUACAGAAUCAAGUGAUGCCUUCUCUUCAAGUUCCUUCUUUUUCUCUCUCACUAUCUUCCUUGCGAAUUCCUGAACUUCAGACACUGCUAUUCUCAAACGCUUUUCUGACCCAAUGUUCAGUUUCCUCUUGAUUUUCCAUACAAUGGGUAACGGUUCUCUAAAACGUUUUGUGCUUAUAAUGUUAGCUUCUUCGAAAGCUUUCGCGAAAUUACUAGCUUUUAGCGACGGAGUUAGGUAUUCAGGGUCGAACCCAAAGGCGAUUUUGCAGAUAUUAUCAAACGUGAAUCGUUGGAGAAUGUCUUGGAAAUCUAUGGUUUUGGAUUGGGAUUGAGAUUCAUUGAGAAUCGGGAUUAAACGGUGGUUGAGUUCAGCGUCCACCACUUGUUCGACGAAUUUCCUGAGAGACCUGGUGUUGAAUUCGUGGCUAGCGACUUGGCGCUGAAACUUCCAGUUCUGGCCGUUGGCGUUGAAGAUUCCAGCGCCAAGGAAAUCAGAGAGGGUAGUGACAAAGUUAGCACCUUUUUGGUAAUUGGAGAAAUGGGUCUUGAGGAUGUGUUGCACGGUGGCAGGGUUGGCGGUGACGACUGAUGUUUGGCCUGGGAGUCGGUAGAAGGUGAAGGUGGCGUUGGGUGAGGCGAUGACGGCGUCGGAUAGCCAUUGGAUACGGCGGUUGGUGUUGGCUUUGAAGGCUAAGUAGGAACCAAUAAGUGGGUAUGCUUUUGGGAGUGUAGUUGCAGUGGUUGAAGAAAGUGCUUCCACUUUCUUAUGUUUUUUCUGAAGUGUGAAGAAGAAGAAGAACAACAAUGGAAGAAGGAAAAAGAAGAAAGGGGUGAAUAAUUGUACAAGGAACUCAGCCAUUGUUGCAAAUUGAGAAGGUAAAGUAGCUUUAGUUAUUGUUGUUUGAAUGUCUGAUAAAUUGAGUUAUGAUGUGUUGUUAUUUAUAGUUAUGUAAAUUAGAAGGAAUGUCCAAUAUCGUGUUUAUGUGGGACACCAUUUUCUUCUUCAAAUUCAAUAGUAAUCAUCUUUCGUGAAAGAUGUUUCAUUCGCUUCAAAUUAUGCAUGCAUGUUCACACUUGGGAAAUAAUAAUACUGUAAUAUAUGUGAUGAAAGAUUAGUUUUAUUAUUUGAAACAAUACACAAGUUUAUAAGAUAGCUAAAAAGUAUCUAUGUUAUUAGUUAAAAGCUGAUAAGAUAAUUGAUCCAGUGGAUUAUAAAUAUAAAAUCACAUAAAAUCUUGUAAGUAAGUGACAUCACAUGUUACUACUGUAUAUAGCUUACCAAAUAUGACCAUAAAAACCAUUUGUUGAAGAUACACAUAAAAUUGAACCGACUAGAAAAUAUAGGAAAGAUAUUAUAAUUACGAUAAUAAUAAAAAUGGAAAAUGUGGUUAGAUGUUAUUCCAUUUGCGUAGCAUACAGUACAUGCAAGAGAUACUUGAAUGAGAAUAAUGAACUUUCUCUACGAUAAUGGAUGCUGACACUCUCUGAGGUAUGCAAAGUUGUCACGGUUUUUAACUUACCAAUAAAGAAUAUUCACGCAGGCACAACAUUAUUAAAGUUGUUUAAUAUUUUUUAUUAGUAAAGUUUGAUAGAUAAGCAACAAUCCACAAACUAUACUUUUCCUCCUUUUCUCGAUCAUCAUUAAGUUUUUAAUGACUUAAGGAAAACAAAUCCAAUCUCGUUUCUUCUUCUUUUCUAGAUGAAAUUUCAACUUUGUGGGUCUUCUAAUAAGUAACUUAAGAAAUAUUUGAACCGCCAUGAUUUAUAUGUGAAUUAUAAACGUCAUUCAUUUCCCAUUAAGUUACUAGAAGUAAAUAUACAUGUAUAAUAAAUUUCACUAACAUGUUCAAAACAUAAUUCUUUAUAAUACUUAUAUACAAA